UGGAAGGAGAGGACAGAUUCUUGAAGGAUGCUUUUGAUGUCCAUCCUCACUGUAGCACAUGCAUCCAUGCACACAAAAUACAUAAAACAUAAUAAAACAUUAUUAAGACCAAGUGAAAUGUGAAUUCAUUUAAAAUAUAACAUGAAAGCAGAAUGCAUGUGCUGACUUCAAAACAUAUUUGGACACUCAGUUGGUGGUAUUGGUGAAAGAAAGUAGGGAAGGGGUGGGAGAGAUUGAUCAGCACUGCUUCCUGUUCUUCUAGAGGGCCCAAAUUUCAUUUCCAGCACCCAUUUUAGGCACCUCACAACUGUCUAUUAACUCCAGCUCCAGGAGAUCUAACUAUUUCUUCUGUCCUCUGUGGGCACCUGUACAUGCCAUAGACACAGAUGUACAGAAAUACACAUAUUUCAAAAAUCUAAAGAAAAGUGGGGGAUUAGAAGUGUUUUUCCUAUACAUCAUUUUAUUAUUUUUAUGUGUAUGAGUGUCUUAACUGCAUGUAUGUCUGUGCACAGUGGGUAUGCCUGGUACCCUGGUGGGCCAGAAGAGGGUAUUAGAUCCCCUGAAACUGGAAUUGCAGAUAAUGGUAAGCAGCCAGGUGGGUGUUGGGAACUAAACCUGGAUCCAUUGCAAGAGCAGCAACUGUUCUUAGCUUCUGAACCACCUGUCCAGCCCCAGGUUAGAAUUCUACUGCUGAAUCA
rnacentral:lncRNA from 1 species